CAGGGAGACAACAAAAUGUUUAAUAUUAUUAUUUUGUCACCUUAGGUCGAUCGGUAUCUCACGUUUUUAAUUAAUUAAGAAUUUCAUUUCCUAAGUUUUUCUAGGUCACACCCAUUUUUUUUUUCCUGGGCCAUUAGCUCAGGUGGUUAGAGCGCACCCCUGAUAAGGGUGAGGUCCCUGGUUCAAGUCCAGGAUGGCCCAUAUCUCUAUGUUGGGGGUAUAGCUCAGUUGGUAGAGCGCCUGCUUUGCAAGCAGGAUGUCAGCGGUUCGAGUCCGCUUACCUCCACUGAUUACCACCUCUUCCAUACUUUGUAGAAAGGAAAAAAAUUUUUGGUUGUGAUUAUUAUUCUGAACGAAUUUAGCUUCCUAAUGAAAUCAUUAAGAUGCUGGACUCAUUGAAUUAAUUUCAUUGUUUUCAGAGAACCUUGACAACUGCAUAGAUUAUUUUUAAAGACAAUAAGCAUCUUUAAUGAUGCAGAUUUAUUAUUUGUGCAAAUGCAUUAAUAACAAUUCUAUUAAGCUGAUGCUUCA
rnacentral:tRNA from 1 species